rnacentral:rRNA from 1 species
ACGCUCGACACCUAUGGGAGGCAGCAGUGGGGAAUAUUGCACAAUGGGGGAAACCCUGAUGCAGCGACGCCGCGUGAGCGAAGAAGUAUUUCGGUAUGUAAAGCUCUAUCAGCAGGAAAGAAGAAAGACGGUACCUGACUAAGAAGCCCCGGCUAACUACGUGUCAGCAGCCGCGGUAAUCUGAGCGGGCUGGCAAGGC